AGGGCCUACGGGGGGCAGCAGUAGGAAAUUUUCGUCAAUGGGCGCAAGCCUGAACGAGCAAUGCCGCGUGAGGGAUGAAGGUACAGAGUAUCGUAAACCUCUUUUGUCAGGGAACAAAGGCGGGGACGCGUCCCCGGAUGAGUGUACCUGAAGAAAAAGCAUCGGCUAACUCCGUGCCAGCAGCCGCGGUAAUACGGAGGAUGCGAGCGUUAUCCGGAUUUAUUGGGUUUAAAGGGUGCGCAGGCGGUCUGUUAAGUCCGCGGUCAAAGCCCGGGGCUCAACCCCGGCCCGCCGUUGACACUGGC
rnacentral:rRNA from 1 species